rnacentral:rRNA from 1 species
GCUUAGGGGUUAAGCCUGAUGAACCCGAAKAUUUGAAAUGAGAAAUUCAUUAUUUUUUAGUAGCUUCGUCUGAAGCGAACAAUGAUAUGCACUUUUCUCAGUGUAAAACAUUGCGAUCUAUUUGUAUAUCCAUAUGGAUGGUUUAUCAAAUGGCCCGUAUGGUUUGUUCAUUCCUAUCUGUGGCAUUUUAUGUCAUAUGGUUGAUGCCAUAGCGGUGACCUGGUAAACAGCAGAUAGUUUUUAAAAAUCAUGCAACCACAUUUUAUGUGUAUCACGGUUUAUGUACUGUUUCAGUGCGUGGAUGCAGUGAUAGCAUGUAUUUGAUUAGCAAUGCGAUAGAUUGGGGAUACCUUCAGGACCCGUCUUGAAACACGGACCAAGAAGUCUAACAUGUGUGCGAGUCAUUGGGUAUAUUGUUGAAACCUAAGGGCGUAAUUAAAAUAACUAUUUUAUGGGAUUACAAGUGAAUUAAAUUUCAUUUCUUCAUCCCGGGGCGUUCUAUACGAACAUGGUGCAAGCAAUUGAACCCUCUGUUCAAGAGCGUACCUUGAGCAUACAUGCUGUGACCCGAAAGAUGGUGAACUAUACCUGAUCAGAUCGAAGCCAGGAGAAAUUCUGGUGGAGGAUCGAAACAGUUCUGACGUGCAAAUCGAUUGUCAGAAUUGGGUAUAGGGGCGAAAGACCAAUCGAACCAUCUAGUAGCUGGUUCCCUCCGAAGUUUCCCUCAGGAUAGCUGGCGCAAAGAAUUAUAUUGUAUAUAAUCUUAUCUGGUAAAGC